UUUCCUAGGUGUAAAAUUACAUAUUUGCGUGUCAAGCAAAAGAAUAAUAGGAAAA
rnacentral:tRNA from 1 species